rnacentral:lncRNA from 1 species
UGGGAACUCAAAACAUAUCACAGUUAAAACUUCAGCUGUACAUCUAAACCAGGAGUAAUCUCUACAUGAUCUUUCACGUUGUUUGUGGGCAACCUUCAUUUGUAUUUUCUUGCAAACAUCACACAUGUGAUAUUAUUUCCUGUCCUCUCAGGGAUAUCCAGGCGUUAUGGGCAGGACCGGGCGGACAGGAUACAGAGGCCCUAUUGGUCCUCCUGGAAUGCCCGCCAUUGUUGUGUUUAAAACCUCUGAAGAAGAAUGGGAGGCUUUCAAGAAGAAGAAGUUCUACAAAAAGUUGGUGUCUUCCUGGCCAAAACUUAAGGGGCCUCUGGGGCCUCCUGGACCUCCUGGCGAUGACGGAACAAUUGUAAGGAGACAAAAGUGGAUUACUUGAAAAUACAAAGUUCACAGAAGCGAUCUAGGGCGAAACUUCAUCACACCAUGACAAUAUUGAAUGUAUAUUGAUUGUGACUGAUUUUGUAUUCUAGGGGCCCCCUGGAAUUACUGGGAAGCAAGGACCAAAGGGAGUUCAAGGGGAAAUUGUAAUUAUCUUGACUUUAUUUGCUUUUUGUCUACAAUGAGGUUUUGUUUGCAAACUUCAUGCAUUGUA